rnacentral:rRNA from 1 species
AUUGAACGCUGGCGGCAUGCCUUACACAUGCAAGUCGAACGGCAGCACGGGAGCAAUCCUGGUGGCGAGUGGCGAACGGGUGAGCAAAGUAUCGGAACGUGCCCAGUCGUGGGGGAUAACGUAGCGAAAGUUACGCUAAUACCGCGUACGAUCUAUGGAUGAAAGCGGGGGAUCGCAAGACCUCGCGCGAUUGGAGCGGCCGAUAUCAGAUUAGGUAGUUGGUGGGGUAAAGGCUCACCAAGCCGACGAUCUGUAGCUGGUCUGAGAGGACGACCAGCCACACUGGGACUGAGACACGGCCCAGACUCCUACGGGAGGCAGCAGUGGGGAAUUUUGGACAAUGGGCGAAAGCCUGAUCCAGUCAUGCCGCGUGCAGGAUGAAGGCCUUCGGGUUGUAAACUGCUUUUGUACGGAACGAAAAGGUUUGGCCUAAUAAGCUGAGCUCAUGACGGUACUGUAAGAAUAAGCACCGGCUAACUACGUGCCAGCCGCCGCCGUAA